rnacentral:rRNA from 1 species
UGAUCCUGGCUCAGAAUCAACGCUGGCGGCGUGCCUAACACAUGCAAGUCGAACAAGAAAGGGAAUUCGGUCCUGAGUACAGUGGCGCACGGGUGAGUAACACGUGACUAACCUACCYUCGAGUGGGGAAUAACUUCGGGAAACCGAGGCUAAUACCGCAUAAUACCCACGGGUCAAAGGAGCAAUUCGCUUGAGGAGGGGGUCGCGGCCGAUUAGCUAGUUGGCGGGGUAAUGGCCCACCAAGGCAGUGAUCGGUAUCCGGCCUGAGAGGGCGCACGGACACAC